CUACGGGGCGCUGCAGCAAGGAAUCGUAGGCAAUGGGGGCAACCCUGACCUCGCGACGUCGCGUGGGGGAUGAAGGCUUUCGGGUCGUAAACCCCUUUUUCCAGGGAAGAAUAAUGACGGUACCUGGAGAAUAAGUCACGGCUAACUACGUGCCAGCAGCCGCGGUAAAACGUAGGUGGCGAACGUUAUCCGGAUUCACUGGGCGUAAAGAGUGCGUAGGCGGUCUAUCAAGUCGGAUGUAAAAUCUCCCGGCCCAACUGGGAGGCACCAUCCGAUACUGUUGGACUAGAGUGCAUCAGGGAGAGUGGAAUUCCCGGUGUAGUGGUGGAAUGCGUAGAUAUCGGGAGGAACACCAGUGGCGAAAGCGGCUCUCUGGGAUGUAACUGACGCUGUUGCACGAAAGCGUGGGUAGCAAACAGGAUUAGAUACCCGUGUAGUC
rnacentral:rRNA from 1 species